rnacentral:rRNA from 1 species
UGCAGUCGAACGAGAGAGAAGGAGCUUGCUUCUUCGAUCGAGUGGCGAACGGGUGAGUAACGCGUGAGGAACCUGCCUCAAAGAGGGGGACAACAGUUGGAAACGACUGCUAAUACCGCAUAAGCCCACGGGUCGGCAUCGACCUGAGGGAAAAGGAGUGAUCCGCUUUGAGAUGGCCUCGCGUCCGAUUAGCUAGUUGGUGAGGUAACGGCCCACCAAGGCGACGAUCGGUAGCCGGACUGAGAGGUUGAACGGCCACAUUGGGACUGAGACACGGCCCAGACUCCUACGGGAGGCAGCAGUGGGGAAUAUUGCACAAUGGGGGAAACCCUGAUGCAGCGACGCCGCGUGGAGGAAGAAGGUCUUCGGAUUGUAAACUCCUGUUGUUGAGGAAGAUAAUGACGGUACUCAACAAGGAAGUGACGGCUAACUACGUGCCAGCAGCCGCGGUAAAACGUAGGUCACAAGCGUUGUCCGGAAUUACUGGGUGUAAAGGGAGCGCAGGCGGGAAGACAAGUUGGAAGUGAAAUCUAUGGGCUCAACCCAUAAACUGCUUUCAAAACUGUUUUUCUUGAGUAGUGCAGAGGUAGGCGGAAUUCCCGGUGUAGCGGUGGAAUGCGUAGAUAUCGGGAGGAACACCAGUGGCGAAGGCGGCCUACUGGGCACCAACUGACGCUGAGGCUCGAAAGUGUGGGUAGCAAACAGGAUUAGAUACCCUGGUAGUCCACACCGUAAACGAUGAUUACUAGGUGUUGGAGGAUUGACCCCUUCAGUGCCGCAGUUAACACAAUAAGUAAUCCACCUGGGGAGUACGACCGCAGGUUGAAACUCAA